rnacentral:rRNA from 1 species
GACGAACGCUGGCGGCGUGCUUAACACAUGCAAGUCGAACGGAAAGGCCCUGCUUUUGUGGGGUGCUCGAGUGGCGAACGGGUGAGUAACACGUGAGUAACCUGCCCUUGACUUUGGGAUAACUUCAGGAAACUGGGGCUAAUACCGGAUAGGAGCUCCUGCUGCAUGGUGGGGGUUGGAAAGUUUCGGCGGUUGGGGAUGGACUCGCGGCUUAUCAGCUUGUUGGUGGGGUAGUGGCUUACCAAGGCUUUGACGGGUAGCCGGCCUGGGAGGGUGACCAGCCACAUUGGGACUGAGAUACGGCCCAGACUCCUACGGGAGGCAGCAGUGGGGAGUAUGGCGCAGUGGGCGGAAGCCUGAUGCGGCAACGCCGCGUGCGGGAAGGCGGCCUUCGGGUUGUAAACCGCUUUCGCCUGAGACGAAGCGUGAGUGACGGUAAUGGGUAAAGAAGCACCGGCUAACUACGUG